rnacentral:rRNA from 1 species
CGCCUGUGCGGCUGCUUUUACCAUGCAGUCGCACGGGCAGCAAUGUCAGUGGCGGACGGGUGAGUAACGCGUAGGGAAGUGUCCAGAGGUGGGGGACAACCCCGGGAAACUGGGGCUAAUACCGCAUAUGGCCUGAGGGCCAAAGCAGUGAUGCGCCUUUGGAGUUACCUGCGUCCGAUUAGGUAGUUGGUGGGGUAAAGGCCUACCAAGCCGACCAUCGGUAGCUGGCUUGAGAGGACGACCAGCCACACUGGGACUGAGUCACCGCCCCCACUCCUACCAUGAGGACUUGAGGGGAAUAUUGCACAAUCCGGGUUGUCUGAUCCGUUCCUCUAGAGUGCCGUGAAGAAGGUCUUCGGAUCGUAAAGCCCUUUCGGCGGGGACGAUGAUGACGGUACCCGCAGAAGAAGCCCCGGCUAACCGGCAGGGCGGCUGCUUACCAUGCAGGUCGCACGGGCAGCAAUGUCAGUGGCGGACGGGUGAGUAACGCGUAGGGAAGUGUCCAGAGGUGGGGGACAAGCCCGGGAAACUGGGGCUAAUACCGCAUAUGGCCUGAGGGCCAAAGCAGUGAUGCGCCUUUGGAGUUACCUGCGUCCGAUUAGGUAGUUGGUGGGGUAAAGGCCUACCAAGCCGACGAUCGGUAGCUGGUCUGAGAGGACGACCAGCCACACUGGGACUGAGACACGGCGGAUUAGAUACUGUGCAUGUAGUUCGCACGGUAAGCAAUGUCAGUGGCGGACGGGUGAGUAACGCGUAGGGAAGUGUCCAGAGGUGGGGGACAACCCCGGGAAACUGGGGCUAAUACCGCAUAUGGCCUGAGGGCCAAAGCAGUGAUGCGCCUUUGGAGUUACCUGCGUCCGAUUAGGUAGUUGGUGGGGUAAAGGCCUACCAAGCCGACGAUCGGUACCUGGCCUGAGAGGACGACCAGCCACACUGGGACUGAGUCACGGCCCAAACUCCUACGGACUGCACAGGUGGGGAAUAUUGGACAAUGGGCGCGUGUCUGAUCCAGCAGGUUAAGUCCCGCAACGAGCGCAACCCUCGCCUUUAGUUGCCAGCACGUUUGGGUGGGCACUCUAGAGGAACUGCCGGUGACAAGCCGGAGGAAGGUGGGGAUGACGUCAAGUCCUCAUGGCCCUUAUGGGCUGGGCUACACACGUGCUACAAUGGCGGUGACAGUGGGAAGCCAGGCAGCGAUGUCGAGCCGAUCCCAAAAAGCCGUCUCAGUUCAGAUCGCAGCCUGCAACUCGGCUGCGUGAAGGUGGAAUCGCUAGUAAUCGCGGAUCAGCACGCCGCGGUGAAUACGUUCCCGGGCCUUGUACACACCGCCCGUCACACCAUGGGAGUUGGUUCUACCUUAAGCAGGUGCGCGAACCCGCAAGGGAUGUAGCUUGCCACGGUAGGGUCAGCGACUGGGGUGAAGUCGUGACAAGGUAGCCCGG